CAGGCAUGCGAGUGAGUGAGCUUUCCAAAGACUUUAACCCCAGCCUUUGAGCUGCCAGAGCUGACAUGAAGUAGAACAGAGAUGAGCUGAGCUUUGCCCCACCUGCAGAUGUAACUUCCCACAUACACCCCUUUUGGCUGAGCUGUAUGGCCAUAAGCGUAGAGACUUGCAGCUGUAUGUGGCCGUGAAUGAGAGACCCAGAGAUGGAAGCUUCACAGCAUUUGUGGCAGUAGCGGCAGAAAUGCAUCACACAUUUGAGUCCCUAGAUGGCCUUGUGGAGAAACGUCUACCUGCCACCCUGGACUAUUAGUCAAAUUCUUAACCACUGCAGUUCCAUCACAGACAUGAAAAAGAUGCAGGCAAGAUAUGGAGUGUCUUCAUGGGGGAGAUUCAGAAGCCAUGGAUGGUGUAGAAAGAAAUAUUCUUCAAACAAAACCUUAUGAGGAACAGAACCAUAGCUCCUGAAACUGUGUGAAAGCAAGAGAAAGAGAGUCUUUUGUCAAUAGUCUGUCCACACAUAUCCAGACCCAACCCAAAGUUACAACCUGACCUCCACGAUCACUUUCCCUCACAGGGACCGCACUAUGAGGAACACGCCAAAGUUGAGAAAGGGUAAGAUUCUUGCCCAACCUCAAGACCAGUGCUAUUCUCUUCACGCCAAGGCAGGAAGAUCACUGAAGCCCAGAAGUUCGAGGCUAAAAUGAGCUAUGAUUGUGCCAACGCACUUCAUCCUAGGCAACAUAGCAAAACCCUAUCUCUAAAAUAUAAACAAGUAAAAUAAAUUUAAAAAUAAUUGUGGCGUGUGGCAAUUAUUGAUAAUGCCUCAUAGCCCCAAAUUCAUCCCUGGUUGCCUUCCCUGUGAAAAUAAAUCUAGGCCCUUCACCUUUAUUUUUUUCUUUUUUGGCUAUCAUGAUGCUAAACUUAUCAGUAGAGGGCAAUACAAAGACAUUUCAAGAAGGCAGAGGCUUCCCUCCUGGUAGUGCACUUUUUCCCCACUGUCUAUUCCACGUGGUUUUCACCAUUGUCAAGGGCUUAGAGGGUACAGCUUUCACAGUGUGUUUUCUACAGUUCUUGACUCAGGAAACAAUGGCAUAGUGGAAGCCCCAGAAAAAUCUGACCUGUGCGCUAGCCCUGUUAACUGCUGCCCACAACCCUGAGUGAUAUGAAUGUAAGGGGUACUGUGGAGCUGAUAAUCAGCAAGCUUGUGGCAUGACCUCCAUCCUGUGUAGCCCAGAGCCACCCUACCCAAGCCACAAAUAGAAAAGCUCUGGGUUUUGAUGCUGACUCUCUAUGGUCCCACUUCUUAGCCUAAGAUCACCUGUGCCCUAGAGAGUUGUACCUACUUCGCCUGGUGACUGUGGACCAGCUCUGCAGGAAGCAAUUUACCAAAUGUCUCUGCGAUCCAGUGGUCAGCAAUUACACCUUCUUCAGUGUGGUCAUAGCCUCUUUCCAAAUUUGUCCUUCCUUAACUACUCUCCCUGUUUUCAUGUUUAUAGUUGUUCUCUUAUCAUUGUUUAAUAAUUUUUAUGUUAAAUUUCCCAUGUUUAAAUUACUAAGUCGAUAUUGUCUCUUGAUUGUACCCAGGCCAAUAAAUGGUACUAUAAAUAUUGUGUUUAUAUUUCAAUAUACAUUGUUUUAAGGUGACUCCCAUGGAGUUUAUAAGCAAGAUAAUGCUUGAGCAAAAUCUAGUACAUUGCAAUAACCUAGGUGACCACAUCAUUUCUCGUGCAAUAAUCAUUUUUAUGUCUCAUAAGAUAUAUGAAUAUAUUAUAAAUUAGAAACAGGAAUAAUUAAACAGAAAACAAUAGCAUAUGACAUGGCAAAGGCAAUAAAAUAAAUAUAUAGGCAAUAUAGGAGCAACUAUGAAAGACUAGGACUUGCAAUAUCAUAUAAAGGAAUUUAAGAACCGAAAUUGAGUAGUCAUUCUUGUUAACAGUGUAUUCAUUUUGUUUUCAUAAUCUUAUUAUCAUGCUGUAACUGUGCUAUAAAAGAGAUAUUGACAAAGACAUGCUUCAGUUAAGGCAGUUUACAUAUGAGCAAAAAAUUUUGGAAACAUUGGAAUUGUUAGUAUAA
rnacentral:lncRNA from 1 species